rnacentral:rRNA from 1 species
GGCCACCUCCUAGCCCAACCACCAUGCCUGACUGACCAUUAAAAAACAACUAAAAACCCUAAACUAAAACAUUCCAACAACUUAGUAUAGGCGAUAGAAAAGAAUUACCUGGCGCUAUAGCACAUAACGGUACCGUAAGGGAAAGGUGAAAUAACAAUGAAAACCCAAAGCCACAAACAGCAAAGACUAACCCUUGUACCUUUUGCAUCAUGAUUUAGCAAGAAAUAGCCAAGCAAGACGGAUCUUAGCUUACCCCCCCGAAACCCAAGCGAGCUACUCUCAAGCAGCUGUCCCGAGCGAACCCGUCUCUGUUGCAAAAGAGUGGGAUGACUUGUUAGUAGAGGUGAAAAGCCAAUCGAGCUGGGUGAUAGCUGGUUGCUCGUGAAGCGAAUUUUAGUUCACCCUUGGCCCGCCCCUAAAGGCCGCCCACUCACCCCACUGUAGCCCGGCCAAGAGCAACUUAAAGGAGGUACAGCUCCUUUAAGAAAGAACACAGUCUCCUCUAGCGGAUAAAUUGCCAACUUACCUUAACCCGUGGGCCUUUAAGCAGCCACCAAUAAAGAGUGCGUCAAAGCUCCUCCAAUAAAAAUAUCCCAACAAUACAACUCCCUUACUUAUAACGGGCCAACCUAUGUCAAUAGGAGAAUUAAUGCUAAAAUGAGUAACUUGGACCCACCACCUCCUCUUAUCAGCGCAAACUUACAUUCACACAUUAUUAACAGACCAAAAUACCUAAACCCCACGAGAACCUGUAUUCCUAAGCCUGUUACCCCCACCCAGGAGCGCUAACCAGAAAGAUUGAAAUCUACAAAAGGAACUAGGCAAGCCCGAGACCCGACUGUUUACCAAAAACAUAGCCUUCAGCUAUACAAGUAUUGAAGGUGAUGCCUGCCCAGUGACACCAUGUUUAACGGCCGCGGUAUCCUAACCGUGCGAAGGUAGCGCAAUCAAUUGUCUCAUAAAUCGGGACCUGUAUGAAUGGCUAAACGAGAUCUCAACUGUCUCUUGUAGAUAAUCAGUGAAAUUGGUCUUCCCGUGCAAAAGCGAGAAUGCCUACAUAAGACGAGAAGACCCUGUGGAACUUAAAAAUCAAUAGUCACCUCCCUAAUACAAACCCUAACAGGCCCACUAUCCAGAGAGCAUUGACUGACAUUUUUUGGUUGGGGCGACCCUGGAGAACAACAGAACCUCCAAACAUAAGACCACAAAUCUUCACUAAGUGCCACCUCUCAAAGUGCUAACAGUAAUCAGACCCAGUACCUACCUGAUCGAUGAACCAAGCUACCCCAGGGAUAACAGCGCAAUCUCCUUCAAGAGCCCCUAUCGACAAGGAGGAUUACGACCUCGAUGUUGGAUCAGGACAUCCUAAUGGUGCAGCCGCUAUUAAGGGUUCGUUUGUUCAACGAUUAACAGUCCUACGUGAUCUGAGUUCAGACCGGAGCAAUCCAGGUCGGUUUCUAUCUAUGAUCAACUUUCCCCAGUACGAAAGGACCGGGAAAGUGGGGCCAAUACAACAAGCAUGCCCCCUCUUUAAGUAAUGAAUCUAACUAAAUUACAAAAGGAGCAAACCCCCCCCCCCCCUCCUAGAAAAGGACCG